AUAUAUACACACGUAUACGUAAACGUGUGUAUAUAAUAUAUACACACGUAUACGUAAACGUGUGUAUAUAAU
rnacentral:pre_miRNA from 13 species